CUCUUUUGGCUUGGAAGGAGCUCUGGGUAUGUGUUAGGCAUUUUCUCUCUGGGCUUGCAGGAACAACAGAGAAGCAGCUGGUAGGACACAGAAUAGGAUUCUAGGAGAGAGCUGAGGAGCCCUCUUGGGUUUGGAGGAGCUCAAGAGAAAGGUAGACUAGCUCAGUAGAAUAACACAAAUAGAAAGAGAUUUCUAAAGAGCUAUCAGGUUAGUUGUAGGAUCACCCUUGUAAAUAGAUAUUUUGUGUAUAGUUAAGGAAAUAAAGUUUCUGGGGCUGGAGAGAUGGCUGAGCAAAGAGCUCUGGCUGCUCUUCCGAAGAUCCUGAGUUCAAUUCCUAGCAACCACAUGGUGGCUCACAACCAUCUGUAAUUGGAUCCGAUGUCCUCUUCUGCUGUGUCAAGGACAAUGUGGUAAUAUACAUAAAAUAAAUAAAUCAAUCUUAAAAAAAAAAAAAAAGAAACAAGCCGGGCAUGGUGGCGCACACCUUUAAUCCCAGCACUCAGGAGGCAGAGGCAGGCAGAUUUCUGAGUUCGAGGCCAGCCUGGUCUACAAAGUGAGCUCCAGGACAGCCAGGGCUAUACAGAGAAACCCUGUCUCAAAAAAAAAAAAAAAAAAAAGAAAGAAAGAAAGAAAGAAAGAAAGAAA
rnacentral:lncRNA from 1 species